AUUGACCGCUGGCGGCAUGCCUUACACAUGCAAGUCGAACGGCAGCAUGGAGAGCUUGCUCUCUGAUGGCGAGUGGCGAACGGGUGAGUAAUGCAUCGGAACGUACCGUGUAAUGGGGGAUAACGUAGCGAAAGUUACGCUAAUACCGCAUACGACCUGAGGGUGAAAGCAGGGGAUCGCAAGACCUUGCGUUAUACGAGCGGCCGAUGUCAGAUUAGCUAGUUGGUGAGGUAAAGGCUCACCAAGGCGACGAUCUGUAGCGGGUCUGGGAGGAUGAUCCGCCACACUGGGACUGAGACACGGCCCAGACUCCUACGGGAGGCAGCAGUGGGGAAUUUUGGACAAUGGGGGCAACCCUGAUCCAGCCAUGCCGCGUGAGUGAAGAAGGCCUUCGGGUUGUAAAGCUCUUUCGGCCGGGAAGAAAUCGCACAGGCUAAUACUCUGUGUGGAUGACGGUACCGGCAUAAGAAGCACCGGCUAACUACGUGCCAGCCGCCGCAGUAA
rnacentral:rRNA from 1 species